rnacentral:rRNA from 1 species
AAAAAUGACUCUCGGCAACGGAUAUCUUGGCUCUCGCAUCGAUGAAGAACGUAGCGAAAUGCGAUACUUGGUGUGAAUUGCAGAAUCCCGUGAACCAUCGAGUCUUUGAACGCAAGUUGCGCCCGAAGCCAUUAGGCUGAGAGGCACGUCUGCCUGGGUGUCAA